rnacentral:rRNA from 1 species
AUUGAACGCUGGCGGCAGGCCUAACACAUGCAAGUCGAGCGAUCGUCGGACGGGGGAGUAAUGUAUGGGGACUGCCCGAUAGAGGGGGAUAACUAUUGUAAACGGUAUCUCAUACCGCAUACUAUCGGAUAACCCAUAUGGGAUUAGCUAGUAGGUGAGGUAAUGGCUCACCUAGGCGACGAUCCCUAGCUGGUCUGUGAGGAUGAUCAGACAAACUGGGACUGAGACACGGCCCAGACUCCUACGGAGGCAGCAGUGGGGAAUAUUGCACAAGGGGCGCAAGCCUGAUGCAGCCAUGCCGCGUGUAUGAAGAAGGCCCUAGGGUUGUAAAGUACUUUCAGUCGGGAGGCGUUACCGACAGAAGAAGCACCGGCUAACUCCGUGCCAGCCGCCGCGGUAAUUC